rnacentral:rRNA from 1 species
GGAAAAGAAAUCAACCGAGAUUCCCCCAGUAGCGGCGAGCGAACGGGGAGCAGCCCAGAGUCUGAAUCAGCUUGUGUGUUAGUGGAACGGUCUGGAAAGUCCGACGGUACAGGGUGAUAGUCCCGUACACCAAAAUGCACAGGCUGUGAACUCGAAGAGUAGGGCGGGACACGUGGUAUCCUGUCUGAAUAUGGGGGGACCAUCCUCCAAGGCUAAAUACUCCUGACUGACCGAUAGUGAACCAGUACCGUGAGGGAAAGGCGAAAAGAACCCCGGCGAGGGGAGUGAAAAAGAACCUGAAACCGUGUACGUACAAGCAGUGGGAGCACCUUCGGGUGUGACUGCGUACCUUUUGUAUAAUGGGUCAGCGACUUAUAUUCUGUAGCAAGGUUAACCGUAUAGGGGAGCCGCAGGGAAACCGAGUCUUAACUGGGCGUUAAGUUGCAGGGUAUAGACCCGAAACCCGGUGAUCUAGCCAUGGGCAGGUUGAAGGUUGGGUAACACUAACUGGAGGACCGAACCGACUAAUGUUGAAAAAUUAGCGGAUGACUUGUGGCUGGGGGUGAAAGGCCAAUCAAACCGGGAGAUAGCUGGUUCUCCCCGAAAGCU